rnacentral:rRNA from 1 species
AUGGCUCAGUGAGGCGUUCGGACUGGCCCAGGGAGGUCGGCAACGACCACCCAGGGCCGGAAAGUCCGUCAAACUUGGUCAUUUAGAGGAAGUAAAAGUCGUAACAAGGUCUCCGUAGGUGAACCUGCGGAGGGAUCAUU